UGCCUCCAUUGUUGACGAUUGAUCAGAUUAGGUUAUGAAUGAGAUUGAUUGAAGGUGUGUUGUGCAUUGAAGAUGAUUACGUGAAUGUUGUUGCAUUUGCAUGCAGAAGGUUUUUUUGUGUGAUUGUUGAAAGUUGAAACCCUAGAUAUUUCCCCAAAUUUCUAUGGUUUGAAUGUUUGGCGCAAAUUGUGGCUCUCUGUUUCUCCUUUUUUGUAGCCUUUGUGAAAACCGUCACCACCCUUUGCUGCCGCCACGAAAACACGACGAUUUUCCCGUUAAAGUUUUGAAUUGUAUUGUAUAAUAAAUAAUAAUACGAUAUCUGUCUACUCAUGUCUUAUAAAACUGUUAAAACUGCAAUUUAUAAAUAAAAAUUUAAGAAAUUACGUAUGUUUGGUAGCCAGUACUCUCGUAUAUAUGUCAUUUAUAUGCGAGUAUGGUGUUGAUUAGGGGCGGAUAGAGAGCUUGGGUUUUAGGGGCAGCCAAAGAGAAAGAGAUAAGCAGCUUGAGUGAAAGUUUCUUUUUCGACGAUGACUCUGCAAUGA
rnacentral:lncRNA from 1 species